CCAAUGGUGCUCCUUGUCGCAUCAUUAUGUUCUUCGGAGGGGCGCUCCCCGGCUCCUCCUUUCGUCAGAUAGCCGGUGGAAGACCUUGCUUGACCAGCUGAGAGGAGGUGCAUGGUCGUCGUCAGUUCGUACUGUGAAGCAUCCUGUUUAGUCAGGCAACGAGCGAGACCCACGCCAACAGUUGCUAGCAUGUUCUCCGGAAUGAUGAGGACACUGUUGGGACCGCCUCUGCUAAAGAGGAGGAAGGAAUGGGCAACGGUAGGUCAGCAUGCCCCGAAUUAUCCGGGCUACACGCGGGCUACAAUGGUCAGGACAAUGGGAAACGGCACUGAAAAGUGUAGUCAAUCUCCUAAACCUGUCCCAAGUUCGGAUUGUGGGCUGCAACUCGCCCACAUGAAGCUGGAAUCCGUAGUAAUCGCGUUUCAAAAUAGCGCGGUGAGUAAGUCCCUGCUCCUUGCACACAAAGGGAAUU
rnacentral:rRNA from 1 species